UGGCUCAGUGGUUAAGAGCACUGGCUGCUCUUCCAGAGGACUGGGUUCAAUUCCCAG
rnacentral:tRNA from 1 species